GGGGUUGUGGCUCAGCGGUAGAUCGCUCACCUAGCAUGUGUGGGGUGCUGAGUUCGAUCCUCAGCAUCACAU
rnacentral:tRNA from 1 species